AUGUUGUCCAUUACUCUGAGUUCUUAUGUAACUGUGUGUUUUCUGUCUUCUGUCUCUUCAGGCUCCAGCAGAUUUAUCAAACAGAACGAUGCCGUCUUACAACAAGGAGGGAGGCCCUACUCAAAAAUCAUGAAGGACCAUUGGGAGGAGAUGAAGGGGACGUGUAGACAUGAUGGCCCAGGAUCAGCAUGGACGGAUUCACCGGAGAUGACUCGGAUAAUGACAUCAGGCAUCAGUACAGCAGGAACAGGAAGUCCUGUGUGAACGCUUCAUCUCUGUGUCACUUCCUGAGAGGAAAUAGAACCAGAAGCUGGAGAAAAAGGCGGUGGCAACAAGUCUCACCUCCACUGUGUGUGUGUGUGUGUGUGUGUGUGUGUGUGUGUGUGUGUGUGUGUGUGUGUGUGUGUGUGUGUGUGUGUGUGUGUGUGUGUA
rnacentral:lncRNA from 1 species